rnacentral:rRNA from 1 species
AAAGGCCUACGGGGGGCAGCAGUGAGGAAUAUUGGUCAAUGGACGCAAGUCUGAACCAGCCAUGCCGCGUGCAGGAAGAAGGUGCUAUGCAUUGUAAACUGCUUUUAUACGGGGGUAAUUACAGAUACGUGUAUCUGGAUGAAAGUACCGUAUGAAUAAGCAUCGGCUAACACCGUGCCAGCAGCCGCGGUAAUACGGAGGAUGCGAGCGUUAUCCGGAUUUAUUGGGUUUAAAGGGUGCGUAGGCGGUUUUUUAAGUUAGUGGUUAAACGUCGGGGCUUCACCUUGAUUUGCCAUUAAUACUGU